CCUACGGGCGGCAGCAGUGAGGAAUAUUGGUCAAUGGCCGAGAGGCUGAACCAGCCAAGUCGCGUGAGGGAAGACGGCCCUAUGGGUUGUAAACCUCUUUUGUCGGGGAGCAAAGAGAGUCACGUGUGACCCAUCGAGAGUACCCGAAGAAAAAGCAUCGGCUAACUCCGUGCCAGCAGCCGCGGUAAUACGGAGGAUGCGAGCGUUAUCCGGAUUUAUUGGGUUUAAAGGGUGCGCAGGCGGAUGUGCCAGUCAGCGGUGAAAUUGCGGGGCUCAACCCCGUACUGCCGUUGAAACUGCAUCCCUUGAGUGCGCGAGAAGUAUGCGGAAUGCGUGGUGUAGCGGUGAAAUGCAUAGAUAUCACGCAGAACUCCGAUUGCGAAGGCAGCAUACCGGCGCGCAACUGACGCUCAUGCACGAAAGCGUGGGUAUCGAACAGGAUUAGAUACCCGGGUAGUC
rnacentral:rRNA from 1 species